CCCUUAGAUGUUCUGGGCUGCACGCGCGCUACACUGAUGCAUGCAACGAGUUUUCGACCUUGCCUGAAAAGGUUGGGUAAUCUGUUUAACAUGUGUCGUGAUGGGGAUAGACCAUUGCAAUUAUUGAUCUUCAACGAGGAAUUCCUAGUAAGCGCGAGUCAUCAGCUCGUGCUGAUUAUGUCCCUGCCCUUUGUACACACCGCCCGUCGCUCCUACCGAUUGGGUGUGCUGGUGAAAUGUUCGGAUCGGCCGUUUGUCGCGGUUUCCGCGUCAUGUGGCUGAGAAGUUCAUUAAACCCUCCCACCUAGAGGAAGGAGAAGUCGUAACA
rnacentral:rRNA from 1 species